rnacentral:ncRNA from 1 species
UCCAUCGCCAUGAUAGGAAAAGAGAAAUUCAAACGGUCGCUAAAGAGAGUCUGCAUAUGGUGAAAGCAGACGCGAUACGGGUAUUUUGAAAUCAUCCUUGAGCUGGAAUGCCUAAAGCGCCUGUCGCAAGUAAGUAUCCCCGGAAGGCUCCGUUAACGGCCCGAAGCUUGUCUGAGCUUUUGAGUGGCAUUCGUGCAAUUAAGGUGGUACCGCGGAUUUAUCCGUCCUUUCA